UACGUAGGGUGCAAGCGUUGUCCGGAAUUAUUGGGCGUAAAGAGCUCGUAGGCGGUUUGUCGCGUCUGCUGUGAAAACGCGAGGCUCAACCUCGCGCCUGCAGUGGGUACGGGCAGACUAGAGUGCGGUAGGGGUGACUGGAAUUCCUGGUGUAGCGGUGGAAUGCGCAGAUAUCAGGAGGAACACCGAUGGCGAAGGCAGGUCUCUGGGCCACUACUGACGCUGAGGAGCGAAAGCGUGGGGAGCGAACAGG
rnacentral:rRNA from 1 species